rnacentral:rRNA from 2 species
GGGUUGUGAGGUUAAGCGACUAAGCGUACACGGUGGAUGCCUUGGCAGUCAGAGGCGAUGAAGGACGUGCUAAUCUGCGAUAAGCGUCGGUAAGGUGAUAUGAACCGUUAUAACCGGCGAUUUCCGAAUGGGGAAACCCAGUGUGAUUCGUCACACUAUCAUUAACUGAAUCCAUAGGUUAAUGAGGCGAACCGGGGGAACUGAAACAUCUAAGUACCCCGAGGAAAAGAAAUCAACCGAGAUUCCCCCAGUAGCGGCGAGCGAACGGGGAGGAGCCCAGAGCCUGAAUCAGUGUGUGUGUUAGUGGAAGCGUCUGGAAAGGCGCGCGAUACAGGGUGACAGCCCCGUACACAAAAAUGCACAUACUGUGAGCUCGAUGAGUAGGGCGGGACACGUGGUAUCCUGUCUGAAUAUGGGGGGACCAUCCUCCAAGGCUAAAUACUCCUGACUGACCGAUAGUGAACCAGUACCGUGAGGGAAAGGCGAAAAGAACCCCGGCGAGGGGAGUGAAAAAGAACCUGAAACCGUGUACGUACAAGCAGUGGGAGCACAGAGCAAUCUGUGUGACUGCGUACCUUUUGUAUAAUGGGUCAGCGACUUAUAUUCUGUAGCAAGGUUAACCGAAUAGGGGAGCCGAAGGGAAACCGAGUCUUAACCGGGCGUUAAGUUGCAGGGUAUAGACCCGAAACCCGGUGAUCUAGCCAUGGGCAGGUUGAAGGUUGGGUAACACUAACUGGAGGACCGAACCGACUAAUGUUGAAAAAUUAGCGGAUGACUUGUGGCUGGGGGUGAAAGGCCAAUCAAACCGGGAGAUAGCUGGUUCUCCCCGAAAGCUAUUUAGGUAGCGCCUCGUGAAUUCAUCUCCGGGGGUAGAGCACUGUUUCGGCAAGGGGGUCAUCCCGACUUACCAACCCGAUGCAAACUGCGAAUACCGGAGAAUGUUAUCACGGGAGACACACGGCGGGUGCUAACGUCCGUCGUGAAGAGGGAAACAACCCAGACCGCCAGCUAAGGUCCCAAAGUCAUGGUUAAGUGGGAAACGAUGUGGGAAGGCCCAGACAGCCAGGAUGUUGGCUUAGAAGCAGCCAUCAUUUAAAGAAAGCGUAAUAGCUCACUGGUCGAGUCGGCCUGCGCGGAAGAUGUAACGGGGCUAAACCAUGCACCGAAGCUGCGGCAGCGACACUGUGUGUUGUUGGGUAGGGGAGCGUUCUGUAAGCCUGUGAAGGUGUGCUGUGAGGCAUGCUGGAGGUAUCAGAAGUGCGAAUGCUGACAUAAGUAACGAUAAAGCGGGUGAAAAGCCCGCUCGCCGGAAGACCAAGGGUUCCUGUCCAACGUUAAUCGGGGCAGGGUGAGUCGACCCCUAAGGCGAGGCCGAAAGGCGUAGUCGAUGGGAAACAGGUUAAUAUUCCUGUACUUGGUGUUACUGCGAAGGGGGGACGGAGAAGGCUAUGUUGGCCGGGCGACGGUUGUCCCGGUUUAAGCGUGUAGGCUGGUUUUCCAGGCAAAUCCGGAAAAUCAAGGCUGAGGCGUGAUGACGAGGCACUACGGUGCUGAAGCAACAAAUGCCCUGCUUCCAGGAAAAGCCUCUAAGCAUCAGGUAACAUCAAAUCGUACCCCAAACCGACACAGGUGGUCAGGUAGAGAAUACCAAGGCGCUUGAGAGAACUCGGGUGAAGGAACUAGGCAAAAUGGUGCCGUAACUUCGGGAGAAGGCACGCUGAUAUGUAGGUGAAGUCCCUCGCGGAUGGAGCUGAAAUCAGUCGAAGAUACCAGCUGGCUGCAACUGUUUAUUAAAAACACAGCACUGUGCAAACACGAAAGUGGACGUAUACGGUGUGACGCCUGCCCGGUGCCGGAAGGUUAAUUGAUGGGGUCAGCGCAAGCGAAGCUCUUGAUCGAAGCCCCGGUAAACGGCGGCCGUAACUAUAACGGUCCUAAGGUAGCGAAAUUCCUUGUCGGGUAAGUUCCGACCUGCACGAAUGGCGUAAUGAUGGCCAGGCUGUCUCCACCCGAGACUCAGUGAAAUUGAACUCGCUGUGAAGAUGCAGUGUACCCGCGGCAAGACGGAAAGACCCCGUGAACCUUUACUAUAGCUUGACACUGAACAUUGAGCCUUGAUGUGUAGGAUAGGUGGGAGGCUUUGAAGUGUGGACGCCAGUCUGCAUGGAGCCGACCUUGAAAUACCACCCUUUAAUGUUUGAUGUUCUAACGUGGACCCGUGAUCCGGGUUGCGGACAGUGUCUGGUGGGUAGUUUGACUGGGGCGGUCUCCUCCUAAAGAGUAACGGAGGAGCACGAAGGUUGGCUAAUCUUGGUCGGACAUCAGGAGGUUAGUGCAAUGGCAUAAGCCAGCUUGACUGCGAGCGUGACGGCGCGAGCAGGUGCGAAAGCAGGUCAUAGUGAUCCGGUGGUUCUGAAUGGAAGGGCCAUCGCUCAACGGAUAAAAGGUACUCCGGGGAUAACAGGCUGAUACCGCCCAAGAGUUCAUAUCGACGGCGGUGUUUGGCACCUCGAUGUCGGCUCAUCACAUCCUGGGGCUGAAGUAGGUCCCAAGGGUAUGGCUGUUCGCCAUUUAAAGUGGUACGCGAGCUGGGUUUAGAACGUCGUGAGACAGUUCGGUCCCUAUCUGCCGUGGGCGCUGGAGAACUGAGGGGGGCUGCUCCUAGUACGAGAGGACCGGAGUGGACGCAUCACUGGUGUUCGGGUUGUCAUGCCAAUGGCACUGCCCGGUAGCUAAAUGCGGAAGAGAUAAGUGCUGAAAGCAUCUAAGCACGAAACUUGCCCCGAGAUGAGUUCUCCCUGACCCUUUAAGGGUCCUGAAGGAACGUUGAAGACGACGACGUUGAUAGGCCGGGUGUGUAAGCGCAGCGAUGCGUUGAGCUAACCGGUACUAAUGAACCGUGAGGCUUAACCUUACAACGCCGAAGGUGUUU